AGAGUUUGAUCCUGGCUCAGGAUGAACGCUGGCGGCGUGCCUAAUACAUGCAAGUCGAACGAAACUUCUUUAUCACCGAGUGCUUGCACUCACCGAUAAAGAGUUGAGUGGCGAACGGGUGAGUAACACGUGGGCAACCUGCCCAAAAGAGGGGGAUAACACUUGGAAACAGGUGCUAAUACCGCAUAACCAUAGUUACCGCAUGGUAACUAUGUAAAAGGUGGCUAUGCUACCGCUUUUGGAUGGGCCCGCGGCGCAUUAGCUAGUUGGUGAGGUAAAGGCUUACCAAGGCAAUGAUGCGUAGCCGAACUGAGAGGUUGAUCGGCCACAUUGGGACUGAGACACGGCCCAAACUCCUACGGGAGGCAGCAGUAGGGAAUCUUCCACAAUGGGCGAAAGCCUGAUGGAGCAACGCCGCGUGGGUGAAGAAGGUCUUCGGAUCGUAAAACCCUGUUGUUAGAGAAGAAAGUGCGUGAGAGUAACUGUUCACGUUUCGACGGUAUCUAACCAGAAAGCCACGGCUAACUACGUGCCAGCAGCCGCGGUAAUACGUAGGUGGCAAGCGUUAUCCGGAUUUAUUGGGCGUAAAGGGAACGCAGGCGGUCUUUUAAGUCUGAUGUGAAAGCCUUCGGCUUAACCGGAGUAGUGCAUUGGAAACUGGGAGACUUGAGUGCAGAAGAGGAGAGUGGAACUCCAUGUGUAGCGGUGAAAUGCGUAGAUAUAUGGAAGAACACCAGUGGCGAAAGCGGCUCUCUGGUCUGUAACUGACGCUGAGGUUCGAAAGCGUGGGUAGCAAACA
rnacentral:rRNA from 1 species